UUCCAGGAACAAAUAAGGAUACCUCAGAAGCUGGUGGCAACAUAGCAGGCAUUUGCAACAAGUAUCGUCUAGCAAUGAUCCAAGAGGAAAGGAUGAACUCCUUGAUAUACUUUGCAUACAUGAUCAUGGGAGAGUAGAAUCAAAGCAGAGGAUAACAAUCUUGAUGGACAUUAAACCUAUACUUCUUCCUUCAUCCACAACUGAGCCUUCACAAUAACUGUGUGCCAGAAAUGAGAGGAGUGGGGUGAGAGGAAUAACUCCAGUAAGCUCUUUAACACAGA